AACGCUACGGGAUGGCUCACACAUCUAAGCCGAGCGGUUAGAGAUUCUCCGGAAUCUUAGAGAGCGGCGCACGGAUGCGGAACACGUGUGCAACCUGCCUUUAUCUGGGGGAUAUGCCUUUCGAAAGGGAGAUUACUACCGCCAUAAUAUACUGAGUGGCAUCACUUAUUAUUGAAAACUCCGGUGGAUAGAGAUGGGCACGCGCAAGAUUAUGAUAGUUGGUGAGGUAACUGGCAUCACCAAGUCAAUGAUCUUUAGGGGGACCUGAGAGGGUGAUCCACCGCACACUGGCUACUGAGACACGGACCAGACUCCUACGGGAGAGCAGCAACUGAGGAAUAUUGGACAAUGGGUGAGAGCCUGAUCCAGUCCAUCCCGCGUGAAGGACGACGGCCACUAUGGGGUUAGUAAACGUUCUUAUUGUACAAGAGGAAUACACCUUCCACACGUGUGAGAACAUGCUUGAAAGGUACAUGUACGAAAUAAAGCAUCCGGCGGCUAACUCCGUGCCAGCAGCCGCGGUAAUACGGAGAGUGCAAGCGUUAUCCGUAUUUAUUGGGUGUAAAGGGUCCGUAGGCGGAUCUGUAAGUCAGUGGUGAA
rnacentral:rRNA from 1 species